AGUGAACGCUGGCGGUAGGCCUAACACAUGCAAGUCGAACGGCAGCACAGUAAGAGCUUUCUCUUACGGGUGGCGAGUGGCGGACGGGUGAGGAAUACAUCGGAAUCUACCUUUCCCCGGCGGAGAACGUAGCCAAACUCACGCUAACACCGCCUCCGACCUACGGCUGAAAGCAGCCGAUCUUCGCACCCUGCGCGCUCGAGUGAGCCGAUGCCGGCUCAGCCAGUCGGCGGGGUAAAGGCCCACCAAGGCGACGAUCCGUAGCUGGUCUGAGAGGAUGAUCAGGCACACUGGAACUGAGACACGGUCCAGACUCCUACGGGAGGCAGCAGUGGGGAAUAUUGGACAAUGGGCGCAAGCCGGAUCCAGCCAUACCGCGUGGGUGAGGAAGGUCUUCGGGUUGUAAAGCUCUUUUGUUGGGGAAGAAAAGGAGGAGGUUAAUACGGCAGGGUUCUGACGGUACCGAAAGAAUAAGCACCGGCUAACUUCGUG
rnacentral:rRNA from 1 species